rnacentral:rRNA from 1 species
CAGUAGCCGCGGGAAUACGAAGGGGGCUAGCGUUGCUCGGAAUCACUGGGCGUAAAGGGUGCGUAGGCGGGUCUUUAAGUCAGGGGUGAAAUCCUGGAGCUCAACUCCAGAACUGCCUUUGAUACUGAAGAUCUUGAGUUCGGGAGAGGUGAGUGGAACUGCGAGUGUAGAGGUGAAAUUCGUAGAUAUUCGCAAGAACACCAGUGGCGAAGGCGGCUUACUGGCUCGAGACUGACGCUGAGGCGCGAAAGCGUGGGGAGCAAACAGGAUUAGAGACCCCUGUAGUCCCUGUCUCUUAUAC